CAUGAGGCUGCACUAGAUAUUAAGGAGGAACUCAAGAUCAAACUGGAGCCCCUAAGAAAUAAAUUCAAGACCUUUGAAGAAGUUAAACUCAUCUGUGACCAAACAACAGCGCACAUUAAGACUCAGACCCAGCACACAGAGAAACAGAUCAAGGAGGAGU